CACCGCGAUAGGGGACCUCGAGUGCUGGGUUACAAACCUGGCUGUUGGGCUGCCUAAAAAGCAGUCUAUAGCAAGGGCCGGGCAAGACCGGUGCCAGCCGCCGCGGUAACACCGGCGGCUCGAGUGGUAACCGCUGUUAUUGGGUCUAAAGGGUCUGUAGCCUGCCGGCUAAGUCUCUUGGGAAAUCUGGCAUCUCAAGUGUCAGGCUGCCAGGGGAUACUGGUCGGCUUGGGACCGGGAGAGGUGAGAGGUACCUCAGGGGUAGGGGUGAAAUCUUGUAAUCCUUGAGGGACCACCAGUGGCGAAGGCGUCUCACCAGAACGGAUCCGACGGCAAGGGACGAAAGCUAGGGGCACGAACCGGAUUAGAUACCCGGG
rnacentral:rRNA from 1 species